rnacentral:rRNA from 1 species
AACGAACGCUGGCGGCAGGCCUCAAACAUGCAAGUCUAGGGGGUGUAGCAAUACAUCACCGGCGGACGGGUGCGUAACGCGUGGGAAUAUACCUAUUGGUUCGGAACAACACAGGGAAACUUGUGCUAAUACCGAAUGUGCCCUUACGGGGAAAGAUUUAUCGCCAAUGGAUUAGCCCGCGUCCGAUUAGCUAGUUGGUGAGGUAACGGCUCACCAAGGCUCCGAUCGGUAGCUGUUCUGAGAGGAAGAUCAGCCACACUGGGACUGAGACACGGCCCAGACUCCUACGGGAGGCAGCAGUUGGGAAUCUUGGACAAUGGGGGGAAACCCUGAUCCAGCCAUGCCGCGUGAGUGAUGAAGGCCUUAGGGUUGUAAAGCUCUUUUACCCGAGAUGAUAAUGACAGUAUCGGGAGAAUAAGCUCCGGCUAACUCCGUGCCAGCAGCCGCG